UCAAGUUACAAAGAGCGCAGGGCGAAUGCCUUGGCGCCUGGAGCCGAAGAAGGACGUGACAAGCUGCGAAAAGCUGUGGUGAGGAGCAAAUAUCCAUCGACCCACAGAUGUCCGAAUGGGGAAACCCGGUCAGGGUAAAUGCCUGAUCAGCCGUACAUGAACACAUAGUGUGCGGUGGGGAACGGGGUGAACUGAAACAUCUCAGUAGCCCCAGGAAGAGAAAUCAACCGAGAGUCCGUAAGUAGUGGCGAGCGAACGCGGAUGAGGCCAAACCGUAAGACGUCAAGUUUUGCGGGGUUGCGGACCGGCGAUAUGGUGAAAGAAGAUGAGUGGAAUGAGCGGCUGGAAAGCCGAGUCCAAAGAGCGUAAUAGUCGCGUACACGAAGUUUUUAAUCAGCUAGCCGGCACCAGAGUACCACGAGACACGAGAAACCUUGUGGGAAGCCGGGGGGACCACCCUCCAAGCCUAACUACUCCAGGCGACCGAUAGUGAACAAGUACUGUGAAGGAACGGUGAAAAGAACCCCGGGAGGGGAGUGAAAUAGAACCUGAAACCCUGUGCUUACAAGCAGUCGUAGGACGUUAAUGUCUGACGGCGUACUUUUUGUAGAACGGUCCGACGAGUUAUGGUGACGGGCGAGGUUAAGUGCUGAAGGCACGGAGCCGCAGCGAAAGCGAGUCUGAAGAGGGCUAGAUAGUCCGUUGCUGUAGACCCGAAACCGGGUGACCUACCCAUGGGCAGGCUGAAGUGACGGUAAAACGUCAUGGAGGGCCGCACCGUUGUCUGUUUAAAAAGGCUCGGAUGACCUGUGGGUAGCGGAGAAAUUCCAAUCGAACUCGGAAAUAGCUGGUUCUCCCCGAAAUAGCUUUAGGGCUAGCCUCGUUUAUGAGUCUGGCGGAGGUAGAGCACUGAAUGGGCUAGGGGCCUUACCGGGUUACCGAACCUUAUCAAACUCCGAAUGCCGUCAAGAUAUCCACGGGAGUCAGACAGCGACAGAUAAGUGCCGUUGUCGAAAGGGAAACAGCCCAGACCAUCAGCUAAGGUCCCUAAAUCGUCGUUAAGUGGCAAAGGAUGUGGACUUGCGAAGACAGCCAGGAUGUUGGCUUAGAAGCAGCCAUUCAUUAAAAGAGUGCGUAACAGCUCACUGGUCAAGUGGGUCUGCGCCGAAGAUGUCCGGGGCUAAACGACGUACCGAAGCUAUGGGGCUACGUUUAAAUGUAGUUGGUAGGGGAGCGUACCGUGCGAGCGGAAGCACGACCGUGAGGACGUGUGGAUUGCACGGUAGUGAGAAUGUCGGAAUGAGUAACGAGAGGAAGGUGAGAAUCCUUCCCGUCGAAAAUCCAAGGUUUCCUGGGGAAGGUUCGUCCCCCCAGGGUCAGUCGGGUCCUAAGGCGAGGCUGGUAAGCGUAGUCGAUGGAUAACAGGUGGAGAUUCCUGUACUACCGACCGGCGCAUGAGAGAGGCAGUGACACAGUAGGAAUGAGCGAGCGUGCGACUGGAAGAGCACGUCCAAGCACAGAGUGUAGUCCCGUAGUGAAGUACGCGGGAUGUUCAUGAUGUGUGAUGGGGAGGGAACACAAGUACCGAAGCGCGGCGUUUCACACUGGCGAGAAAACCUGCUAUCGAGCCGGUAGGUACCCGUACCGCAAACCGACACAGGUGGAUGAGGAGAGAAUCCUAAGACGAGCGGGCUAAGCAUUGUUAAGGAACUCGGCAAAUUAACCCCGUACGUUCGCAAGAAGGGGUGCCCGCCUCGAUCAGGCGGGCCGCAGUGAAUAGGCCCGAGCAACUGUUUAUCAAAAACACAGGUCUCCGCGAAAUCGCAAGAUGAAGUAUGGGGGCUGACGCCUGCCCGGUGCUGGAAGGUUACGGGAAUCUGUUAGCGUAAGCGAAGCAGUGAACUUAAGCCCCAGUAAACGGCGGCCGUAACUAUAACGGUCCUAAGGUAGCGAAAUUCCUUGUC
rnacentral:rRNA from 1 species